UACGGAGGGUGCGAGCGUUGUCCGGAUUUAUUGGGUUUAAAGGGUGCGUAGGUGGCUUCGCAAGUCAGACGUGAAAUCCCCGGGCUUAACCUGGGAAUGGCGUUUGAAACUACGGAGCUGGAGUGUGGCAGAGGGAGGUAGAAUUCCACGUGUAGCGGUGAAAUGCGUAGAUAUGUGGAGGAAUACCGAUGGCGAAGGCAGCCUCCUGGGCCAACACUGACGCUCAUGCACGAAAGCGUGGGGAGCAAACAGG
rnacentral:rRNA from 1 species